rnacentral:rRNA from 1 species
GACGUAGGGGGCGAGCGUUGUCCGGAUUUAUUGGGCGUAAAGAGCUCGUAGGCGGCCCGUUAAGUCGGAUGUGAAAACCCGUGGCUCAACCACGGGCCUGCAUCCGAUACUGGCGGGCUCGAGGCAGGCAGGGGAGAUCGGAAUUCCUGGUGUAGCGGUGAAAUGCGCAGAUAUCAGGAGGAACACCGGUGGCGAAGGCGGAUCUCUGGGCCUGUCCUGACGCUCAGGCGCGAAAGCUAGGGGAGCGAAUGGG